UGGAAUCUUCGAGAUUAUAUGGAAUAUUAUCACUUUUGUACCCGUUUUAUCCCAUUCAAACUCUACAUUAUGAAGCAAGAUGGCCAUAAUAUGUGAUUUUUAGCUUGUAUAUAUCAGUUUGUGGUGCAUCGAAAACUGUAUUUUUUACACAAAGAGUACAAACUAGAGCACAUUUCACGGAAUCUAGAUGACUAUGUUGAAUUUAGCAC
rnacentral:lncRNA from 1 species